GCACAACUGGAAAAAGUAGAACUUAGCCAUGAGACACGCUUUAUUAUUAACAAGGCCUGUACUAAUACACAUGAAGAAAAAGAAGGUGACAUUUGCACUUACAAGAGGAAAAGAAGAGGACAUGAUAUGUGGAUUGGCAUGUAGCUGGGGGUGGUUUCAUGUCUAUCACCAGACCUUUAACUCAAGUCUAUGGGAAACUUCUGCUGCAACCUCCUGGAAAUCAGGUAUUUCACCAGAUCACCAUGAAGCCAGGACAAUACUAGUGGAGCCAUUUGGCAGCUAAUACCUGUCAUCUAGUACAGUUUUAUCUUCUAGUAAGCAUUCUCUGAAAAGAAUCACAAAGACCAGAAUGAUAAAUAGCUCUAGGUUUAUCCGUGCUGCUAGGUGUUACAGAGAGGAAAACACUCCACUAGCCCAGGA
rnacentral:lncRNA from 1 species